UUUGUGUUUCCUAUGAAAAACUAGAGAUUUUUUUUCCUUUACUUCAAUUAGUUUUCCACAUCAACACCAAGUUUUCUUAAGGAUUACUGAUUUUCUCACCCUCAUCAUCGAUUGCAAUACCACUUUUUGCGAAUUAUGUUGUUUUUUUUGCCUCUUGAAAUCCAAGAAGAGAAGAGAAAAAAAAAAGUGGUAUUUUUGAGAAAUUAAAAGGAAACCUCCAGCUGUGGCCCAAUUCCCACGCAGCCCACCAGUGGCCUUCUGCCCAGCCAGGCCCGCCUGGCCUCCUUCCCAGCCACCUGUUGCAUUCUCCAGGCCCACGCCCAUAGGCCCGUGCCUCCAUUUAGCCGCCUGGGCUUCCCACUCCUCAGCAAAGGCCCAACCGAAUCACCCCAACAUCCAGCUGCCUUCAGCUAUUGCACCCCACGCCUGGCCUCCAUGUCUUCAGCCAGCACCGAAGCCCACGCCUCACCUCUUGCCCAGCCGGAGACCCACCAGGAAGCCCAUAGCCAGCUGCCAUUUCCCCUUGAGCCCAACAAAAGCACAUUGUCCCCUUGUCCCCUUUGUCUAAAAAUGCCACAUUUUUACCCCACUUUCUACAUAUUUUACCCAAAAAUCAUCAUUACACCCUACAAUUUACUACUAUUUUCCAUAUUAUAAUUAAUUCAAUUAAUUUAAUCAAUUUAAUUAAUUUAAAUUGAUUAUUUUAAUACCUUUUUUUUGGCUAUAAAUAAGGGAGUUUAGUGCUUAUUUUUUAGGGAGGUUACACUACACAAGUUCCACUCUUUCAAGACAUCUCUAUUCUCUUCAUCUUUUUCUUCUUUUUGGCCAUUUUUCUAUGAGUUUUUAAAGGAAAAAUUUGGGAGUUCAUCCUCCAAAUUUUCCUAUUUAUGUUUGUAAUUUUUAAUUUGUAUUUGUUAUUCUAGUUAUGAGUUUCUAAUCUUUUUGAGAUUAUUAAGGUGAUGAUGAAACAAUAUCUAACUAGAUAUUAUUUAUCUUGUAUUUUGAUUUCCCAUUUAUGCAACAAAGUUUAUGGAUUUUUUGUAA